rnacentral:rRNA from 1 species
UACAGAGGUCCCAAGCGUUGUUCGGAAUCAUUGGGCGUAAAGCGCGCGCAGGCGGAUCAGCAAGUCAGAUGUGAAAUCUCGAAGCUCAACUUCGAAACUGCGUCUGAAACUGCUAGUCUAGAAUGUCGGAGGGGGCAGGGGAAUUUCACGUGUAGGGGUAAAAUCCGUAGAGAUGUGAAGGAACACCGGGGGCGAAGGCGCCUGCCUGGACGACUAUUGACGCUGAGGCGCGAAAGCGUGGGGAGCAAACAGG